GCAUCGCCCAGUUCCUCCUCGCGCUGUUCGUGCUCGCUCCCAGAUUGGGGAAGGCAUUCGUUGUCGGUGAAUCUGGCGGAAGCUGAAAAGGUUGGAUUUUUGAGCGGCGAUCGAGCUGUGCCCGUAGGGAUUCUGAUUUCUCCUUAAAUUGGAGGUUCUGGAGAGAGUAGUGUGGAAUUUCGGCUUGUGGUCCUGCAAAGUACCGGGUGUGGCAAAUGCGGCUGAUUUCACGCCAUUUCUAGCCUGUGUGUUGAUAUAAAGUCGACCGAGGUACGUAGAGGGAAGAAGCUUGGAGGCCUUCGCGAGGCGUCCAAGUAUUAAGCGGCAAGAAAAUGCAGCAAGAUCAACAGGAAAAGAGGUCUCUAGAACUAAAGUUUUUCAGUGAGUAUGGAGAUGCUAAUAGGUAUAGAGUUGAGAAAAUUAUCGGCAAAGGUAGCUAUGGAGUCGUUUGUUCAGCAAUUGAUACACAUACUGGUGAGAUGGUGGCGAUCAAGAAGAUGCAUAAUAUCUUUGAACACAACUCCGAUGCUGUUCGAACACUCCGCGAGAUCAAGCUUCUGCGUCUUUUGAAGCAUCCGGAUAUAGUGGAGAUAAAACACAUCAUGUUGCCUCCAUCGAGACGAGAUUUCAAAGAUGUUUAUAUUGUCUUUGAACUUAUGGAGUCAGAUCUUCACCAAGUCAUAAAGGCAAACGAUGAUUUAACAAAGGAACAUAUUCAGUUCUUCAUUUAUCAGUUGCUCCGAGCACUUAAAUAUAUCCACACAGCUAAUGUGUACCAUCGCGAUUUAAAGCCAAAGAACAUACUGGCAAAUGCAAACUGCAAGCUAAAGAUUUGUGAUUUUGGGCUAGCAAGAGUUGCAUUCGACAAUAGCCCCACAACAGUACUUUGGACGGAUUACGUUGCAACCAGAUGGUAUAGGGCUCCUGAAUUAUGCGGAUCAUUUUUCUCUAAGUAUACCACUGCUAUCGACAUUUGGAGUGUUGGUUGCAUUUUUGCUGAGCUAUUGAUAGGCAAGCCUCUUUUCCCCGGUAAAAAUGUUGCUCAUCAACUAGAUUUGAUCACUGCCCUUCUCGGCACACCUUCCUUCAAUACAAUUUCCCAGGUUCAAAAUGAGAAAGCAAGGAAGUAUUUGAGAAGCAUGAGGAAGAAAGAGCCUAUACCAUUCACACAGAAAUUCCUGAAUGCAGAUCCUUUGGCGUUGAAACUUUUGGAGAAGCUUUUAUCAUUUGACCCUAAGAACAGACCAACAGUUGAAGAGGCACUAGCUGAUCCAUAUUUCAAAACUCUUGCCAAAGUAGAGAGGGAACCGUCUCGCCGACCAAUCCCAAAAAAGGAGUUUGAUUUUGAACAACGAAGGUUGACUAAAGAAGACAUACAAGAACUAAUCUUCCAUGAGAUAUUGGAAUAUCAUCCUCAGUUGCUUGAAAGUUACAUCAAAGGAUCUGAAAGGACGAAAUUCCUGUAUCCCAGUGCUUUGGAUCAGUUUAGAAGACAAUUCACUUACCUCGAAGAGAAUGGUGAAAAAAAUGGACCUGCAACUUUGUUAGAUAGGAAGCAUGUCUCUCUCCCUAGGUAAAUUUUCAGCCGGUCUGUUCUUCAGCUUCAUUCCUUUCUUAUUUUUAUCAACUGAGGUGUCUCGAUCUUUGCAAGAAAUCAUACAAUUUGCUAGGCUGUUCAAAGUUACCAAACAAACUUGAUAUUUUGAUUCAGUUAGGUAUGCAUCGUGUAUAACUGAGAUCGCAUUAGAAGCUGAUAUUGUUCUAAGAUCACAUUGCACUCAUUUCCUUUCUUUACGUUUUCCUUUCGAUGAAUUUCUCAUUUAACCUUUGUAUCUUGCUUAAAUAUCACUUGAAAUUUCCUAAUAUAUAUUUGGAUCUCUAUCUGUGAUCUUUUCGAUGAUCUCAUAGGUCAACAAUGGUCCACUCUGCUGUCCCUCUAAUGGAAAAAGCAGCUACGUCCUAUUCAAUAGAUAAACGAAGCAUAGAUGAGGCACAUAAGAAAAACUCUGAUAAGAUGGAAUGCUCAUCUGGACAAGUAGCAAGUGCUUCAAACUUGUCCAAUAGAUUCUCAAAUGUUCAGCCUGGAAGAGUUUUCAAGGAUGCCGUUCCAUUAGCUACUCACAACAUUCUCACCGCAACACUAGGAAGUUGGAGAGCUCAUGCGUAGACACAGCACAGGCCGAACAAGAAUCCGUACAGCAUCAACCGACACAAACAUGUCUAGUUAGUGAAGUGGCUGCUCUCCCUUUUCACUUCUCGGGGGAUAAGGUUGAACCGGCAGACAGAAACACUGCAACCAAAAGCUUGUUUUAUGCGAGAUCCCACUUUAACUGGAUCAUCACAGCGGAUUCGGCUGCCAGUGAUCAUAGAAAAAUCGGCAGUUGUCUGUUUGGACUUUCGAGUAUAUAUUGAGCUCCAAAACUUAUAAUUCGAUGAAACUAGCAUCAGUAGGCUAGGUGCAAAUGCAAAGGUCAGCGACGAGAUCACGAAGAAGAUCAUGGUGAAGAGAAAUGCUGAAUGCUUAAAUUUCAACAGUAAUAAUCCCUGCAUCAUUUCAAGCUCCAGUAAGUGUGAAUACUAGAGGAUCAUGAAAGGAUGCCUCUAUUGAGCUUUUCAUCUUUGCUCAUAGUCUGGAACAUCAGUUUCAUAACUUUAUAAUAUACCAGUUUAAUUCAUUUACUUUACUUUUUGUAAAAUAAAACAACACAUGUAAAUGUACAUAAUUAUGGAAAUGCAAGGAGGUAUGUUUAUGAAC